CCUACGGGAGGCUGCAGUGAGGAAUAUUGGUCAAUGGGCGUAAGCCUGAACCAGCCAAGUCGCGUGAGGGAUGAAGGUUCUAUGGAUGGUAAACCGCUUUUAUAAGGGAAUAAAGUGCGGGACGUGUCCCGUUUUGUAUGUACCUUAUGAAUAAGGAUCGGCUAACUCCGUGCCAGCAGCCGCGGUAAUACGGAGGAUCCGAGCGUUAUCCGGAUUUAUUGGGUUUAAAGGGUGCGUAGGCGGCCUUUUAAGUCAGAGGUGAAAGUCCGUGGCUCAACCAUGGCAUUGCCGUUGAUACUGGGGGGCUUGAGUAUGUUUGCGGCAGGCGGAAUGCGUGGUGUAGCGGUGAAAUGCUUAGAUAUCACGCAGCACCCCGAUUGCGAAGGCAGCCUGCCAAGCCAUGACUGACGCUGAUGCACGAAAGCGUGGGGAUCAAACAGGAUUAGAUACCCUUGUAGUC
rnacentral:rRNA from 1 species